GCGUGCCUAAUACAUGCAAGUCGAGCGAGCGGACUACAGAUUUACUUCAGUAAUGACGUUAGGAAAGCGAGCGGCGGAUGGGUGAGUAACACGUGGGGAACCUGCCCCAUAGUCUGGGAUACCACUUGGAAACAGGUGCUAAUACCGGAUAAGAAAGCAGAUCGCAUGAUCAGCUUUUAAAAGGCGGCGUAAGCUGUCGCUAUGGGAUGGCCCCGCGGUGCAUUAGCUAGUUGGUAAGGUAAAGGCUUACCAAGGCGAUGAUGCAUAGCCGAGUUGAGAGACUGAUCGGCCACAUUGGGACUGAGACACGGCCCAAACUCCUACGGGAGGCAGCAGUAGGGAAUCUUCCACAAUGGACGCAAGUCUGAUGGAGCAACGCCGCGUGAGUGAAGAAGGUUUUCGGAUCGUAAAGCUCUGUUGUUGGUGAAGAAGGAUAGAGGUAGUAACUGGCCUUUAUUUGACGGUAAUCAACCAGAAAGUCACGGCUAACUACGUGCCAGCAGCCGCGGUAAUACGUAGGUGGCAAGCGUUGUCCGGAUUUUAAGGGCGUAAAGCGAGCGCAGGCGGAAGAAUAAGUCUGAUGUGAAAGCCUUCGGCUUAACCGAGGAACUGCAUCGGAAACUGUUUUUCUUGAGUGCAGAAGAGGAGAGUGGAACUCCAUGUGUAGCGGUGGAAUGCGUAGAUAUAUGGAAGAACACCAGUGGCGAAUGCGGCUCUCUGGUCUGCAACUGACGCUGAGGCUCGAAAGCAUGGGUAGCGAACAGGAAUUAGAUACCCUGGUAGUCCAUACCGUAAACGAUGAGUGCUAAGUGUUGGGAGGUUUCCGCCUCUCAGUGUUGCAGGUAACGCAUUAAGCACUCCGCCUGGGGAGUACGACCGCAAGGUUGAUACUCAAAGGAAUUGACGGGGGCCCGCACAAGCGGUGGAGCAUGUGGUUUAAUUCGAAGCAACGCGAAGAACCUUACCAGGUCUUGACAUCUAGUGCCAUUUGUAGAGAUACAAAGUUCCCUUCGGGGACGCUAAGACAGGUGGGCAGGCUGUCGUCAGCUCGUGUCGU
rnacentral:rRNA from 1 species